GCAGUGGUGGUUCAGUGGUAGAAUUCUCGCCUUCCAUGCAGGUGACCUGGGUUCAAUUCCUGGCCAGUGCA
rfam:Loxodonta africana unplaced genomic scaffold scaffold_8, whole genome shotgun sequence.